rnacentral:rRNA from 1 species
GCGAUCUAUCCAUGGGCAGGUUGAAGGUUGAGUAACAUCAACUGGAGGACCGAACCCACUAAUGUUGAAAAAUUAGGGGAUGACCUGUGGAUCGGAGUGAAAGGCUAAUCAAGCUCGGAGAUAUCUGGUUCUCCCCGAAAUCUAUUUAGGUAGAGCCUCGGACGAACACCACUGGGGGUAGAGCACUGUUUGGGCUAGGGGGUCAUCCCGACUUACCAACCCCAUGCAAACUCCGAAUACCAGUGAGUGCUAUCCGGGAGACAGACGGCGGGUGCUAACGUCCGUCGUCAAGAGGGAAACAACCCAGACCACCAGCUAAGGUCCCAAAUGUUAAUUAAGUGGGAAACGAUGUGGGAAGGCUUAGACAGCUAGGAGGUUGGCUUAGAAGCAGCCAUCCUUUAAAGAAAGCGUAAUAGCUCACUAGUCGAGUCGGCCUGCGCGGAAGAUGUAACGGGGCUAAAUUAGCAACCGAAGCUGUGGCUGUGUCUUAUGACACGGGGUAGGGGAGCGUUCUGUAAGCUGUUGAAGGUGUGUUGUCAGGCAUGCUGGAGGUAUCAGAAGUGCGAAUGCUGACAUGAGUAACGACAAGGGGAGUGAAAAACUCCCCCGCCGGAAGAUCAAGGUUUCCUGUCCAACGUUAAUCGGGACAGGGUUAGUCGGCCCCUAAGGCGAGGCAGAAAUGCGUAGUCGAUGGGAAGCGCGUUAAUAUUCGUGCACUUUUUGUUAUUGCGAUGGAGGGACGGAGAAGGCUAGGCCAUCACGGCGUUGGUUGUCCGUGUUUAAGGUUGUAGGCUGGGGAUUUAGGCAAAUCCGGAUCCCUAAGGCUGAGAACUGAUGACGAGCUAACUUUUAGUUGGCGAAGUGGUUGAUGCCCUGCUUCCAAGAAAAGCUUCUAAGCUUCAGAUAACAAAGAACCGUACUGUAAACCGACACAGGUGAUCAGGUAGAGAAUACCAAGGCGCUUGAGAGAACUCGGGUGAAGGAACUAGGCAAAAUGGCACCGUAACUUCGGGAGAAGGUGCGCCACUGACGGUGAAGGAUUUACUCCGUAAGCUGUUGGUGGUCGAAGUAACCAGUCCGCUGCAACUGUUUAUUAAAAACACAGCACUCUGCAAACACGUAAGUGGACGUAUAGGGUGUGACGCCUGCCCGGUGCUGGAAGGUUAAUUGAUGGGGUUAGCGUAAGCGAAGCUCUUGAUCGAAGCCCCAGUAAACGGCGGCCGUAACUAUAACGGUCCUAAGGUAGCGAAAUUCCUUGUCGGGUAAGUUCCGACCUGCACGAAUGGCGUAAUGAUGGCGGAGCUGUCUCCACCCGAGACUCAGUGAAAUUGAAAUCGCUGUUAAGAUGCAGUGUACCCGCGGCUAGACGGAAAGACCCCGUGAACCUUUACUGUAGCUUUGCACUGAACUUUGAACCUAUUUGUGUAGGAUAGGUGGGAGGCUUUGAAGCCAUGACGCUAGUUGUGGUGGAGCCGUCCUUGAAAUACCACCCUGGUAUGUUUGAGGUUCUAACGUCGGCCCGUUAUCCGGGUUGCGGACAGUGCAUGGUGGGCAGUUUGACUGGGGCGGUCUCCUCCCAAAGAGUAACGGAGGAGCACGAAGGUUGGCUAAUCCUGGUCGGAAAUCAGGAGUUUAGUGUAAUGGCACAAGCCAGCUUGACUGCGAGACUGACACGUCGAGCAGGUACGAAAGUAGGUCAUAGUGAUCCGGUGGUUCUGUAUGGAAGGGCCAUCGCUCAACGGAUAAAAGGUACUCCGGGGAUAACAGGCUGAUACCGCCCAAGAGUUCACAUCGACGGCGGUGUUUGGCACCUCGAUGUCGGCUCAUCACAUCCUGGGGCUGAAGCCGGUCCCAAGGGUAUGGCUGUUCGCCAUUUAAAGUGGUACGCGAGCUGGGUUUAGAACGUCGUGAGACAGUUCGGUCCCUAUCUGCCGUGGGCGUUGGAGAUUUGAGAAGAGUUGCUCCUAGUACGAGAGGACCGGAGUGAACGAACCUCUGGUGUUCGGGUUGUCAUGCCAAUGGCAUUGCCCGGUAGCUAUGUUCGGACGGGAUAACCGCUGAAAGCAUCUAAGCGGGAAGCCUCCUUCAAGAUAAGAUCUCCCUGGGGCCUUGAGCCCCCUAAAGAGCCGUUGA